rnacentral:rRNA from 1 species
UAGGGAAUCUUGGACAAUGGGCGAAAGCCUGAUCCAGCCAUGCCGCGUGAGUGAAGAAGGCCUUAGGGUUGUAAAACUCUUUUAGCGGGGAAGAUAAUGACGGUACCCGCAGAAUAAGCCCCGGCUAACUUCGUGCCAGCAGCCGCGGUAAUACGAAGGGGGCUAGCGUUGUUCGGAAUUACUGGGCGUAAAGCGCACGCAGGCGGACUGAUCAGUCAGGGGUGAAAUCCCGGGGCUUAACCCCGGAACUGCCUUUGAUACUGUCAGUCUCGAGUCCGGGAGAGGUGAGUGGAAUUCCUAGUGUAGAGGUGAAAUUCGUAGAUAUUAGGAAGAACACCAGUGGCGAAGGCGGCUCACUGGCCCGGUACUGACGCUCAGGUGCGAAAGCGUGGGGAGCAAACAGG